CACGUAGGGCGCAAGCGUUGUCCGGAAUUAUUGGGCCUAAAGCAUCCGUAGCCGGUUUUACAAGUCCUCCGUUAAAUCCAGCUGCUUAACAGAUGGGCUGCGGAGGAUACUAUAAGACUAGGAGGCAGGAGAGGCAAGCGGUACUCAGUGGGUAGGGGUAAAAUCCGUUGAUCCAUUGAAGACCACCAGUGGCGAAGGCGGCUUGCCAGAAUGCGCUCGACGGUGAGGGAUGAAAGCUGGGGGAGCAAACCGG
rnacentral:rRNA from 1 species